AUUGAUCGAUUGUAGGUGCCAAAAACGUAUUUGGGUAUGUUGGUCGGUUCACUUUGCGCAUUAAUGGGUGUAUUAACAAUUGCACUUCCAGUUCCGGUCAUUGUCUCCAAU
rfam:Wuchereria bancrofti cont1.3075, whole genome shotgun sequence.